rnacentral:rRNA from 1 species
UACGUAGGGGGCAAGCGUUGUCCGGAUUUAUUGGGCGUAAAGAGCGUGUAGGCGGUUUGGUAGGUCCGUUGUGAAAACUCGAGGCUCAACCUCGAGACGCCGAUGGAAACCAUCAGACUAGGGUCCGGAAGAGGAGAGUGGAAUUCCUGGUGUAGCGGUGAAAUGCGCAGAUAUCAGGAAGAACACCAAUGGCGAAGGCAGCUCGCUGGGACGGUACUGACGCUGAGACGCGAAAGCGUGGGGAGCAAACAGG